GCUCAGUGUAUCCAAGAUCCUGAGCUGCCAGGGGCCUGGCCACUCCCACCCCGAGCCCUACCUUGGCUGAGCUGGUCACCGCUGCGUGUCCCGGGCUGCCGGCCUGCCUGUCAUCUGCAGUGCACAGGACAUGAUGGCUGUGUGAGUGCCUGCCAUGGCCCACCGAAAGUGUGAGAGCGCGAGGAGCGGCAUGUUGGACCACAGAGCGAGGCCGGGCCCUGUUCCCCGUAGCCAGGAGCGAAGAUGAGGAGCUGCCCUUAGAGGACUAUGUGCCCAAGGGCCUGGAACUGGCCACCCUAUGGCCAGAGAGCCCCAUGUCCGAGGAGUAGGAGUGCUACAACCACAGCCCCGAUGGGGACUCCAGCUACGUGAACAACACCUCCAAGGAGGAGGAGGAGGGCAUCACCUACUACAUCCGCUACUGCCCCGAGGACGACAGCUACCUGGAGGGCAGGGACUUCAAUGGGGAGGAGUACCUGGCCCACGGCACACACCCCGUCAACACUGACACUUGCCAGGAGCGUCCACACUACACGCCUCCUAACUGGACCAACCAGUGAAGAGCUCAGCCACCAUUAGAACUGCAAGGCUCCCAGCCCCUCCCACCACCUCACUUCAGCAUCUGUGGGGGCUGUACCAGGUGGUCCCUUGCUCUCAGGUGCCUCUGCUACCUUCUCUGGGACAGGAGAGUCUUACUCUGGGACAGGAGAGGAGUGGCUGGACUAAGCGGGCCUGCAGCCCCAUAGCCACUGUGCUGAGGGCAGCCAGGACUACCCGGACGGCCACCUGCCCAUCCUGGACAGAGGACGAGCACUCUGUCCUGGAGGCCCACGACCAGGAAUAAGAUGGCCACGACUGUCCCAGCAAAGAGGGCUACUACCCCACAGAGGCCAACGGGAACACCGGCGCCUCCCCGUACCACCUGAGGCAUGGGGAUGGGGACCUGGAGGACCAGGAGGAGGACAUUGACCCUAUCAUGGCCAUGAUCAAGAGGAGCCUGAGCAUGACCAGCAUCACCAGCGCCAGUGAGGCCAGCCCCGAGCAUGGGCCUGAGCUGAGACCUGGGGACUCUGCAGAGGCCUGCAUGCCCAGCAAGGCCAGCUGCAGCCCCAGCAGGCACGAAGCGAAACCCAAGUCACUGAACCUCCCUCCUGAGGCCAAGCACUGUGAAGACCCCCAGAGUGGCUUCAAGCCCAAGACUAGGACCCCAGAGGAGAAGCCGAAGUGGCCCCACGAGCAGGUGUGCCUUUCGGUGAGUGUGCCCAGGAGGAGGAUGGCUGUCGAGAUGGGCAGGCACCCUCCCUGCUGUGCACCCGGCCCCGUGUCUGGCCUAGCCAGGCCCCAGCUGCAGGCUGACGUCCUGGCCUGGGCUCUGCCCACGACUGCUGCAUGCCCUUGUUGCAGUUGCUUGGCAGUGGAUGAGCCUGAUUUGCUCCACCAGCUGAGGCCCAGGCUGCAGUGGUGCUGGCCAGAGAGGACAGUUAGUGGCCUGGGACCUGCCGCAAUCCACAGCCGGAGUCAGAGCCGAUUUCCCAGUCUGCAGAGUGAGACAGUGGAUCUCAUGGUCUCCAAGGAUUCAUCCAGCUCUGUUUUCCUCGGCCCAGGGUUUGUCCUGAGGCCUGUGGCUGAUGCCCUGGGCUCCAGCCUCUCUAAGCAAGGGAGCAAAGCUGAGCAGAAGUCGGCCUCCACAUUCCUGGCUUUUUGCCUCCAUUCUGAGCUCCCUCUCUCUGGCUUCCCCAUCAGUUCUGUGCCCUUUGAGGAGGGGCUUCCCAGAGGAAGAGUUGGCCAAAAGGGGCCUUUAUGUGUGAUGUGGAAGGAGGAAGGAAAGAGGCAGCCGUUGGCCAUCCGCGGUGUCACUGGCCAGGUCUAG
ensembl:lincRNA